rnacentral:rRNA from 1 species
UACGUAGGGCGCAAGCGUUGUCCGGAAUUAUUGGGCGUAAAGAGCUCGUAGGCGGUCUGUUACGUCCGCUGUGAAAACCCAGGGCUUAACCCUGGGCUUGCAGUGGAUACGGGCAGACUAGAGGCAGGUAGGGGAGAAUGGAAUUCCCGGUGUAGCGGUGAAAUGCGCAGAUAUCGGGAGGAACAUCAGUGGCGAAGGCGGCCAUCUGGAUCAACACUGACGCUGAGGCACGAAAGCGUGGGGAGCAAACAGG